rnacentral:tRNA from 1 species
GUCGCUAUCGUCUAGUGGUUAGGACGUCACAUUGAGACCGUGACAACCCCGGUUGAAACCCGGGUAGUGACU